rnacentral:rRNA from 1 species
UACGUAGGUGGCGAGCGUUGUCCGGAUUUACUGGGCGUAAAGGGAGCGUAGGCGGACUUUUAAGUGAGAUGUGAAAUACUCGGGCUCAACUUGAGUGCUGCAUUUCAAACAGGAAGUCUAGAGUGCAGGAGAGGAGAAUGGAAUUCCUAGUGUAGCGGUGAAAUGCGUAGAGAUUAGGAAGAACACCAGUGGCGAAGGCGAUUCUCUGGACUGUAACUGACGCUGAGGCUCGAAAGCGUGGGGAGCAAACAGG